rnacentral:misc_RNA from 1 species
AGCAAGACAAUGAAUGAACAAGUGUAACUACAGAAGUAAGAUGCAAGAAAAAAAAGCCUGACAAAAACUCUUAUCAUAUUGAAUUCAUACAUUUUCUGGUAAGUUCUCAGAUGCCCCGGUUGUAUAUGGUGUGACGGCCACUUCAGCUUCCUUUCCCUAUUUGUUAUGCAUAUAUAGCUGUAUGUUAAACAUUUCCUUAGCUCAGGCCUCUUGGAUUUCAAGAAAACAUCAAUUGUUUUGCCUUCUUGUUCCAUGACA